UACAGAGGUCUCAAGCGUUGUUCGGAAUUACUGGGCGUAAAGGGUGCGCAGGCCGCGCGGGCAGUCAAAUGUGUAAUCCAGGGGCUCAACCCCUGAACUGCGCUUGAUACUUCCGCGCUCGAGCUUUGGAGAGGAGUCUGGAAGUUCUCGGUGUAGCAGUGAAAUGCGUGGAUAUCGAGAAGAACACUUAGGGCGAAGGCAAGACUCUGGACAAAUGCUGACGCUCAUGCACGAAGGCUAGGGUAGCGAACAGG
rnacentral:rRNA from 1 species